UACGGAGGGUGCGAGCGUUGUCCGGAAUCACUGGGCGUAAAGGGCGCGUAGGUGGCCUGUGGAAGUCUGCGGUGAAAGCCCGGCGCUCAACGCCGGGUCGGCCGUGGAUACUCUCGGGCUUGAGCUUACUAGAGGCAGAUGGAAUUCCGGGUGUAGCGGUGGAAUGCGUAGAGAUCCGGAAGAACACCGGUGGCGAAGGCGGUCUGCUGGGGUAAUGCUGACACUGAGGCGCGACAGCGUGGGGAGCAAACAGGG
rnacentral:rRNA from 1 species